AACGGCUCAUUAUAACAGCUAUAAUUUACUUGACCUUGACCAGUUACUUGGAUAACUGUGGUAAUUCUAGAGCUAAUACAUGCACCGAAGUUGUUCCUCGCGGAGCAAUGCAUUUAUUUGAGCAAAACCAGGCGGCUUCGGCCGUUUCUGUUGAAUCAGAAUAACUAAGCUGAUCGCAUGGGCUUGUCCCGGCGACGUGUCUUUCAAGUGUCUGCCUUAUCAACUUUCGAUGGUAGUGUACGUGACUACCAUGGUGUUGACGGGUAACGGAGGAUAAGGGUUCGACUCCGGAGAAGGGGCCUGAGAAAUGGCCACUACGUCUAAGGAUGGCAGCAGGCGCGCAAAUUACCCACUCUCGGUUCGAGGAGGUAGUGACGAAAAAUAACAAGGCCGUUCUCUUUGAGGCCGGCCAUUGGAAUGGGUACAACUUAAACCCUUUAACGAGUAUCAAUGAGAGGGCAAGUCUGGUGCCAGCAGCCGCGGUAAUUCCAGCUCUCAAAAUGCAUAGAACCAUUGCUGCGGUUAAAAAGCUCGUAGUUGGAUCUGUGCCGGCGACGUGGUCCGCCCUAACGGGAGGUACUGCGCUCGUCGGCUUUGGGCCGGUUUUCGGUCGGUCGCCUUAACUGGCGGCCGCUCGUGGCUGGCUGGUUUACUUUGAGCAAAUCAGAGUGCUCAGCACAGGCGUCUCGCCGGAAUGUUCGUGCAUGGAAUAAUAGAAAAGGAUUUCGGUCCUCUUUUAUUGGUUUUGUGGACUGAGAUAAUGGUUAACAGAGACGGACGGGGGCAUUCGUAUUGCUGCGUGAGAGGUG
rnacentral:rRNA from 1 species